rnacentral:rRNA from 1 species
AGACGGUAGGGUAUUCGGCCUACCGUGGCAAUGACGGGUAACGGGGAAUUAGGGUUCGAUUCCGGAGAGGGAGCCUGAGAAACGGCUACCACAUCUAAGGAAGGCAGCAGGCGCGCAAAUUACCCAAUCCUAAUACAGGGAGGUAGUGACAAGAAAUAACAAUACAGGACUUUUUGGUUUUGUAAUUGGAAUGAGUUAAGUAUAAACCCCUUUACAAGUAUCAAUUGGAGGGCAAGUCUGGUGCCAGCAGCCGCGGUAAUUCCAGCUCCAAUAGCGUAUAUUAAAGUUGUUGCAGUUAAAAAGCUCGUAGUUGGAUUUCUGUUAAUAAUUUAUAUAAAAUAUUUUGAAUAUUUAUAUAACAUUAACAUAAUUCAUAUUACUAUAUUUUUUAGUAUAUGAAAUUUUACUUUGAGAAAAUUAGAGUGCUUAAAGCAGGCAAAUGCCUUGAAUACUCCAGCAUGGAAUAAUAUUAAAGAUUUUUAUCUUUCUUAUUGGUUCUAAGAUAAGAAUAAUGAUUAAUAGGGACAGUUGGGGGCAUUUGUAUUUAACAGUCAGAGGUGAAAUUCUUAGAUUUAUUAAAGACAAACUAAUGCGAAAGCAUUUGCCAAGGAUGUUU